rnacentral:rRNA from 1 species
GACGAACGCUGGCGGCGUGCUUAACACAUGCAAGUCGAACGGAAAGGCCCUGCUUUUGUGGGGUGCUCGAGUGGCGAACGGGGGAGUAACACGUGAGUAACCUGCCCUUGACUUUGGGAUAACUUCAGGAAACUGGGGCUAAUACCGGAUAGGAGCUCCUGCUGCAUGGAGGGGGUUGGAAAGUUUCGGCGGUUGGGGAUGGACUCGCGGCUUAUCAGCUUGUUGGUGGGGUAGUGGCUUACCAAGGCUUUGACGGGUAGCCGGCCUGAGAGGGUGACCGGCCACAUUGGGACUGAGAUACGGCCCAGACUCCUACGGGAGGCAGCAGUGGGGAAUAUUGCACCAUGGGCGGAAGCCUGAUGCAGCAACGCCGCGUGCGGGAUGACGGCCUUCGGGUUGUAAACCGCUUUCGCCUGUGACGAAGCGUGAGUGACGGUAAUGGGUAAAGAAGCACCGGCUAACUACGUG